UUAUUUAUCUAUUAGGGGAAUGCCACAAUGAAGAAGAUGCUUCUCUAGGGUGAAGCUCUGCCUUUGCAUUUCAGUUGAAUUGAUCCCUGCAAUUUCCUUAAAUGUGGGAAAUUCAAUUGCAUAGUUUUUGAUAGUGAGAGACUGCAUUUGUGCUGAUUCCCA